rnacentral:rRNA from 1 species
GAUGAACGCUAGCUACAGGCUUAACACAUGCAAGUCGAGGGGCAGCACGGUGUAGCAAUACACGGGUGGCGACCGGCGCACGGGUGCGUAACGCGUAUCCAACUUUCCCGUUACUCUCGGAUAGCCUUCCGAAAGGGAGAUUAAUACGAGAUGGUGUUCAGUUUCCGCAUGUUUACUGAACUAAAGAUUCAUCGGUAACGGAUAGGGAUGCGUGACAUUAGAUAGUUGGCGGGGUAACGGCCCACCAAGUCUACGAUGUCUAGGGGUUCUGAGAGGAAGGUCCCCCACACUGCAACUGAGACACGGUCCAGACUCCUACGGGAGGCAGCAGUGAGGAAUAUUGGUCAAUGGUCGGAAGACUGAACCAGCCAAGUAGCGUGAAGGAUGAAGGUUCUAUGGAUUGUAAACUUCUUUUAUACGGGAAUAAAGCCCACUACGUGUAGUGUUUGUAUGUACCGUAUGAAUAAGCAUCGGCUAAACUCCGUGCCAGCAGCCGCGGU